rnacentral:rRNA from 1 species
GAUGAACGCUGGCGGCGUGCCUAAUACAUGCAAGUCGAGCGAACAGAUGAGGAGCUUGCUCCUCUGACGUUAGCGGCGGACGGGUGAGUAACACGUGGAUAACCUACCUAUAAGACUGGGAUAACUUCGGGAAACCGGAGCUAAUACCGGAUAAUAUAUUGAACCGCAUGGUUCAAUAGUGAAAGACGGUUUUGCUGUCACUUAUAGAUGGAUCCGCGCCGCAUUAGCUAGUUGGUAAGGUAACGGCUUACCAAGGCGACGAUGCGUAGCCGACCUGAGAGGGUGAUCGGCCACACUGGAACUGAGACACGGUCCAGACUCCUACGGGAGGCAGCAGUAGGGAAUCUUCCGCAAUGGGCGAAAGCCUGACGGAGCAACGCCGAGUGAGUGAUGAAGGUCUUCGGAUCGUAAAACUCUGUUAUUAGGGAAGAACAAAUGUGUAAGUAACUAUGCACGUCUUGACGGUACCUAAUCAGAAAGCCACGGCUAACUACGUG